CCGGACAGGUGCAGGUGAGGCGGCUCCGGCUCCAGGGAGUCUGCAACACCUGAGCUCGUCAGGACAGGUAACACAGGCACCCACAGGUAACCCCCAGGUGUUCCCCAGGUACACCCAGGUAAUGCCCAGGUGUUCCCAGGUAACCCCCAGGUGUUCCUGGAUAACCCCAGGUAACCCCAGGUACCCACAGGUAACCUGCAGGUACCUCCACGUGUUCCC